AGGAUAAACGCUGGCGGCGUGCUUAACACAUGCAAGUCGAACGGAUUCGUGGCACUUGUGUCGCGGGUUAGUGGCGAACGGGUGAGUAACACGUGAGUAACCUGCCCCAGACUCUGGGAUAACUCCGGGAAACCGGUGCUAAUACUGGAUAUGACAUCAAGCCGCAUGGUUAUGGUGUGGAAAGUUUUUCGGUCUGGGAUGGGCUCGCGGCCUAUCAGCUUGUUGGUGAGGUAGUGGCUCACCAAGGCGACGACGGGUAGCCGGCCUGAGAGGGCGACCGGCCACACUGGGACUGAGACACGGCCCAGACUCCUACGGGAGGCAGCAGUGGGGAAUAUUGCACAAUGGGCGCAAGCCUGAUGCAGCGACGCCGCGUGAGGGAUGACGGCCUUCGGGUUGUAAACCUCUUUCAGCAGGGAGAAGCCUUUCUGGGUGACGGUACCUGCAGAAGAAGCACCGGCUAACUACGUGCCAGCAGCCGCGGUAAU
rnacentral:rRNA from 1 species